rnacentral:rRNA from 1 species
AGUGAACGCUGGCGGCGUGCUUAACACAUGCAAGUCGAACGAGAACGGGAUAUAGCUUGCUAUAUUUGUCAGCUAAGUGGCGCACGGGUGAGUAAUGUAUAGAUAACCUGCCCUCUAGAAAGGAAUAACAGUUGGAAACGACUGCUAAUGCCCUAUAUGCCUUUAAUACAUAAGUAUGCAAGGGAAACGCUUUAGUGCUAGAGGAUGGGUCUGUAUGGUAUCAGCCUGUUGGUGAGGUAAUGGCUCACCAAGGCUAUGACGCCUAACUGGUUUGAGAAGAUGAUCAGUCACAAUGGAACUGAGACACGGUCCAGACUCCUACGGGAGGCAGCAGUGGGGAAUAUUGCACAAUGGACGAAAGUCUGAUGCAGCAACGCCGCGUGGAGGAUGACACAUUUCGGUGCGUAAACUCCUUUUAUAUAGGAAGAUAAUGACGGUACUAUAUGAAUAAGCACCGGCUAACUCCGUGCCAGCAGCCGCGGUAA